AUUGAACGCUGGCGGCAGGCCUAACACAUGCAAGUCGAACGAGCGGCGGACGGGUGAGUAAUGUCUGGGAAACUGCCCGAUGGAGGGGGCUAACUACUGGAAACGGUGGCUAAUACCGCAUACCAUCAGAUGAACCCAUAUGGGAUUAGCUUGUUGGUGGGGUAACGGCUAACCCAGGCGACGAUCCCUAGCUGGUCUGAGAGGAUGACCAGCCACACUGGAACUGAGACACGGUCCAGACUCCUACGGUAGGCAGCAGUGGGGAAUAUUGCACAAUGGGCGCAAGCCUGAUGCAGCCAUGCCGCGUGUAUGAAGAAGGCCUUCGGGUUGUAAAGUACUUUCAGUGGGGAGGCGUUACCCGCAGAAGAAGCACCGGCUAACUCCGUGCCAGCAGCCGCGGUAAUAC
rnacentral:rRNA from 1 species